CCUACGGGUGGCAGCAGUGAGGAAUAUUGGUCAAUGGGCGGAAGCCUGAACCAGCCAAGUAGCGUGCGGGAUGAAGGCCCUACGGGUCGUAAACCGCUUUUGCACGGGGAUAACACCCUCCACUUGUGGAGGUCUGCAGGUACCAUGCAAAUAAGGGCCGGCUAAUUCCGUGCCAGCAGCUGCGGUAAUACGGAAGGCCCGAGCGUUAUCCGGAUUCAUUGGGCUUAAAGGGAGCGUAGGCGGUCGUUCAAGUCAGCUGUAAAAGUGGGCGGCUCAACCGAGCACUGCAGUUGAAACUGGAAGUCUUGAGUUCACAACAGGCAGGCGGAAUUCGUGGUGUAGCGGUGAAAUGCAUAGAUAUCACGAGGAACCCCGAUUGCGAAGGCAGCCUGCCGGGGUGCGACUGACGCUGAGGCUCGAAGGUGCGGGUAUCAAACAGGAUUAGAUACCCCUGUAGUC
rnacentral:rRNA from 1 species